AAAGCUAUAAUUAACAGUGUACGCAUUUAGUUUCUAAUAACCAGGUUACACAUGUCCUCACCAUCAGUUUCCUACUUAUGUUCAUCUAUCAGGAGGAUGUCACAAGGAUUUUCUGCAUUCACUGUAAAAGAAGCAUUUAUACUGAGCGCAGACUGACUGGUAAAUCUUUCAUCGGUUGCAGUGGAUCUGCAUGGAAGAGACAUUGGGAGGAAGCCUUAUCUGUCACCUUAUAACAAAUGUCAACAUCAGAGUUAUGCCAAACAGCAUAUAGACAAGCCAGAGGCCUUUUUGAAACAAGUGUUGUGGACUAAUGAAGUUAAAACAGAAGUAUUUGGCCACAAUUACCAAAGGUUUGUUUGGUGAAAAAUGGAGUAGCAUUUGAACACCUUGGUGACUGGUAAACACGGUGGUUAACUGAUCAAGCUUUGGAGUUGUGCGACAUCCAGCGUCCCAGAAAAUAUUGUAUAUAUAGAGCGAAGGAUGGAUUCCACUAAAUAUCACCAAAUUCUGGAUGCCAAUGUGAAACAGCCAGCUUAGAAGCUGAAGCAGAGAUGGCUCCAACAACAAGAUAUGAUACAUGAUGAUACUAAGCAUACCUCAUUUUACCACCAUGAGCUAUUUAUAGAAAGGCAAGCUGAAGGUUUUAUAUUGGCUCCCCUGACUUCAAGAUCUACCCACAGACUUUCAGUGAAGUUUAACAUGCCAGUGAUCUGCAAGGACGAGUGGCCAAAAAUUCUUAUAACCGAAUACAAAAAGCAUUUACAAGCUGUGAUCUGUGCCAUAGGGGGUAUUACCAAAUACUGACUUAUCACUUAAUUGUGCAUUAACAUUUGCAAAUAUUUUAUAUAUAUUUUUUUUUAACACAAUGAUUCCUGCCGUACUGGUUUACUAUGUUUCACUUACAAAAUUAGGUAAUUAUGUCAUUUGGCAAGGGAUGCCCAAACUUUUGCAUUCAACAGUAUAUAAAUAGCCUUUUCCCACCACUGGUGUGUAGUUAAAUCAAUAAUGCCGAUCCCUAGGUUCUCUAUAAAUUUCCUUUGUGUGUAUGAAAUCAAGUAAAAACCAUAAAAAGUACUGGCACACAGAGCAACUGCAAUGCAGGCAAACCCCUGCAUGUUUAAGCAGCCAUGAUAGAACAUUUCUGUUCUAGAACUGUUUCCAUGGGAAAGGUAUUAUUCCGAGUGAUGCAGUUGCACAUCCUUUGAAUGGUUCUAAGCAUGCAAGGCUUUUAUACUUGUGAGUGUAAAGAGGUAGUGUUUUGAAUACCCAUGAAAUACCCAUCUCGUUUAGUGAAUGUGGGCCAGACAAGUUAACCAAUUUAUAUUUGUUAAAAUAAACACAAGACAACUAUUUGCAUUUAGCAACUUCCAGCUGCUUUGUUCCAAACUGGUAGUAAAGAAAAAUCAAAAAGAAACAACCUAGCUCAUAAACACGGGCUUAUAUUUUAAACUUCGAGUUUGUGAAUUUGAGUUUGUUUUUCUAAAUUUAAUAAACUUGCAUAUUGAAUGGCCGCUUAUUUAUUAAUAAGGAAAACUCAUUUGAAUAAAAAAAA